rnacentral:rRNA from 1 species
GACGAACGCUGGCGGCGUGCCUAAUACAUGCAAGUUGAGCGCUGAAGGUUGGUACUUGUACCAACUGGAUGAGCAGCGAACGGGUGAGUAACGCGUGGGGAAUCUGCCUUUGAGCGGGGGACAACAUUUGGAAACGAAUGCUGAUACCGCAUAAAAACUUUAAACACAAGUUUUAAGUUUGAAAGAUGCAAUUGCAUCACUCAAAGAUGAUCCCGCGUUGUAUUAGCUAGUUGGUGAGGUAAAGGCUCACCAAGGCGAUGAUACAUAGCCGACCUGAGAGGGUGAUCGGCCACAUUGGGACUGAGACACGGCCCAAACUCCUACGGGAGGCAGCAGUAGGGAAUCUUCGGCAAUGGACGAAAGUCUGACCGAGCAACGCCGCGUGAGUGAAGAAGGGUUUCGGAUCGUAAAACUCUGUUGGUAGAGAAGAACGUUGGUGAGAGUGGAAAGCUCAUCAAGUGACGGUAACUACCCAGAAAGGGACGGCUAACUACGUG